CUAAUACAUGCAAGUCGAGCGCGGGAAGCAAGUAGAUCCUCAUCUGAGGUGACACUUGUGGAACGAGCGGCGGACGGGUGAGUAACACGUGGGCAACCUGCCUGUAAGAUCGGGAUAACUCGCGGAAACGUGAGCUAAUACCGGAUAAUACUUUUUCCUGCAUGGGAGGAAGUUGAAAGAUGGCUUUGGCUAUCACUUACAGAUGGGCCCGCGGCGCAUUAGCUAGUUGGUGGGGUAAAGGCUCACCAAGGCGACGAUGCGUAGCCGACCUGAGAGGGUGAUCGGCCACACUGGGACUGAGACACGGCCCAGACUCCUACGGGAGGCAGCAGUAGGGAAUCUUCCGCAAUGGACGAAAGUCUGACGGAGCAACGCCGCGUGAGUGAUGAAGGUCUUCGGAUCGUAAAACUCUGUUGUGAGGGAAGAACAAGUAUUGUUCGAACAGGGCAGUACCUUGACGGUACCUCACCAGAAAGCCCCGGCUAACUACGUGCCAGCAGCCGCGGUAAUACGUAGGGGGCAAGCGUUGUCCGGAAUUAUUGGGCGUAAAGCGCGCGCAGGCGGUCUUUUAAGUCUGAUGUGAAAUCUUGCGGCUUAACCGCAGGCGGUCAUUGGAAACUGGAGGACUUGAGUGCAGAAGAGGAGAGUGGAAUUCCACGUGUAGCGGUGAAAUGCGUAGAGAUGUGGAGGAACACCAGUGGCGAAGGCGAC
rnacentral:rRNA from 1 species